CAGCAGCCGCGGUAAGACGAACCGUGCGAACGUUAUUCGGAAUUACUGGGCUUAAAGCGCGUGUAGGCGGGCCGCCACGUCGGUCGCUGAAAGCCCCCGGCUCAACCGGGGAGGGUCAUUGGAAACUGGGAAACUUGAGUGCAGAAGCGGAGAGUGGAAUUCCACGUGUAGCGGUGAAAUGCGUAGAGAUGUGGAGGAACACCAGUGGCGAAGGCGACUCUCUGGUCUGUAACUGACGCUGAGGAGCGAAAGCGUGGGGAGCGAACAGGAUUAGAUACCCCGGUAGUCCCUGUCUCUUAUA
rnacentral:rRNA from 1 species